rnacentral:rRNA from 1 species
UAAGCAAGAUGUGAAUCGUACGGCUCAACCGUAUACACAUAUUUUGAACUGACAAGCUAGAGUAUAUGAGAGGUCACUGGAAUUUCUAGUGUAGGAGUGAAAUCCGUAGAUAUUAGAAGGAACACCGAUGGCGUAGGCAGGUGACUGGCAUAUUACUGACGCUAAGGCACGAAAGCGUGGGAGCGAACCGGAUUAGAUACCCGGGUAGUCCACGCCGUAAACUAUGGAUGCUA